AUUGAACGCUGGCGGAAUGCUUUACACAUGCAAGUCGAACGGCAGCACAGGUGCUUGCACCUGGUGGCGAGUGGCGAACGGGUGAGUAAUGCAUCGGAACGUACCGUGUAGUGGGGGAUAACGCAUCGAAAGGUGUGCUAAUACCGCAUACGUCCUGAGGGAGAAAGUGGGGGAUCGCAAGACCUCACGCUAUACGAGCGGCCGAUGUCCGAUUAGCUAGUUGGUGAGGUAAAGGCUUACCAAGGCGACGAUCGGUAGCUGGUCUGAGAGGACGACCAGCCACACUGGGACUGAGACACGGCCCAGACUCCUACGGGAGGCAGCAGUGGGGAAUUUUGGACAAUGGGCGAAAGCCUGAUCCAGCCAUUCCGCGUGAGUGAAGAAGGCCUUCGGGUUGUAAAGCUCUUUUGUUAGGGAGGAAAUCCUAGUGGCUAAUAUCCAUUGGGGAUGACAGUACCUAAAGAAUAAGGACCGGCUAACUACGUGCCAGCAGCCGCGGUAA
rnacentral:rRNA from 1 species